rnacentral:rRNA from 1 species
AACGUAGGACGCAAGCGUUAUCCGGAUUUACUGGGCGUAAAGAGCGCGCAGGCGGUCGUCCAAGUCGCGUGUGAAAGCCCCCGGCUCAACUGGGGAGGGUCACGCGAUACUGGUCGACUCGAAGGCAGGAGAGGGUAGUGGAAUUCCCGGUGUAGUGGUGAAAUGCGUAGAUAUCGGGAGGAACACCAGUGGCGAAGGCGACUACCUGGCCUGUUCUUGACGCUGAGGCGCGAAAGCUAGGGGAGCAAACGGG